UGCCAGCAGCCGCGGUAAUACGGAGGGUGCAAGCGUUAUCCGGAUUCAUUGGGUUUAAAGGGUAUCGUAGGCGGAUAGAUAAGUUAGUGGUGAAAUCCCGAAGCCCAACUUCGGAACUGCCAUUAAAACUGUUUAUCUUGAAUUUGGUUGAAGUGGGCGGAAUAUGACAUGUAGCGGUGAAAUGCAUAGAUAUGUCAUGGAACACCAAUAGUGAAGACAGCUCACUAAGCCAAUAUUGACGCUGAGGGACGAAGGCAGGGGUAGCGAACGGGAUUAGAUA
rnacentral:rRNA from 1 species